rnacentral:rRNA from 1 species
GAUUAACGCUGGCGGCGUGCCUAACACAUGCAAGUCGAACGAUGAAACUUAAAUGAUUUCUUCGGAAUGAACUUAAGUGGAUUAGUGGCGGACGGGUGAGUAACGCGUGAGUAACCUGCCUUACACAAGGGGAUAGCCGUUGGAAACGACGAAUAAUACCCUAUGAAACUAUCACUUCGCAUGAAGCGAUAGUCAAAGUGUUAGCGGUGUAAGAUGGACUUGCGUCUGAUUAGCUAGUUGGUGAGAAAAAAGCCCACCAAGGCAACGAUCAGUAGCCGGCUUGAGAGAGUGGACGGGCACAUUGGGAAUGGGACACGGCCCAAACUCCUACGGGAGGCAGCAGUGGGGAAUUUUGCACAAUGGGGGAAACCCUGAUGCAGCGACGCCGCGUGAUUUAGAAGGCCUUCGGGUUGUAAAAAUCUUUUGUAUAGGAAGAAAAUGACAGUACUAUACGAAUAAGGUCCGGCUAAUUACGUG